UACGGGGGGGGCAAGCGUUGUUCGGAAUUACUGGGCGUAAAGGGCUCGUAGGCGGCCAACUAAGUCGGAUGUGAAAUCCCCAGGCUUAACCUGGGAACUGCAUCCGAUACUGGAUGGCUUGAAUCCGGGAGAGGGAUGCAGAAUUCCAGGUGUAGCGGUGAAAUGCGUAGAUAUCUGGAGGAACACCGGUGGCGAAGGCGGCGUCCUGGACCAACACUGACACUGAGGAGCGAAAGCCAGGGGAGCAAACGGG
rnacentral:rRNA from 1 species